UGAAGUGACUGUCAGAGCAGCUCUGGAGAUGAAGUUCAUAUGUUCAUGUCUCAUAUAUUGAGACGCAGACGCUGAAGACUCCGCGAGCAACGUGUGUUUGAG